UUCGUAGGCGGUGCGGCAAGUCGGAAGUGAAAUCUCUGGGCUCAACUCAGAGACUGCUCCCGAAACUGCCGUGCUAGAGUGCGGGAGAGGCGAGUGGAAUUACAGGUGUAGCGGUGAAAUGCGUAGAUAUCUGUAGGAACACCCGUGGCGAAGGCGGCUCGCUGGACCGCAACUGACGCUGAGGAACGAAAGCUAGGGGAGCAAACAGGAUUAGAUACCCUGGUAGUCCUAGCCCUAAACGAUCAGGACUUGGGGUGCAUCCCGGUUGGGGGUGCGUCCCGUAGCUAACGCGUUAAGUCCUGCGCCUGGGGAGUACGGUCGCAAGGCUGAA
rnacentral:rRNA from 1 species